CCUUCGCCGGUCUUCGAGUUGGCGUUGCGCGGAGAGCGAAACCCUAGAAGCCGAUCUUUACGGUCAUGGCGAAGAACCGGAACAACAAAACGAAGAACAAGAGUAACCCGAAGAAGGACGGCGCCGUGCCGAUACAUGCCUCCACGGAGGCCGUAGUGAUGGAUACGUCGGAUGGAAACCCGUCAAAUCCAGUUCUUGGUGCCAUCAAUAGCUGUAGUUAGCUACUGGCUGAAGUGAUAUAAGAUCUUCAGCAAAAGUGAUAGUAAUGCAAUGCGUAAUUAGUAGAACCCACUGAAGAACAGUAUUGAGGGAAAUGCAUGCGUGAGUCAGAUUUGAAGACAAUCAAGUACGUCAUAUGGCAAGGCAAAAGGAACAAAUGGGAACAUUAUGUGGAGAAGUCUUAGUCAAGUACCUUGUCUUUUGCUUGACCAUGUCGAUUUAUACUUUUAGUGUCUGUUUCAAAUUUUAGGUUUAUCUGGCCAAUAUUGUGUAAAGAUAUUUACAAUGAGAAAUUUAAACCAAAUGUAUAAUUUCUCACAUAUUUAGUUUCUGAUUGGUGCAUAGAAUGUCAUAUGCAUAUUUUAUUGGUAUCAAUUUAUGAUAUGGAAAAUGGAAUCUGAUUACUUGGUUUUCUGUUUUCUGUAACCUUCCUUCGAGACAUCACAAGUGAAAAAAAAUAAUCUUGAAGUGUUUUCACAUGUUAUAUG